rnacentral:rRNA from 1 species
UAGAAUGAGUAUUUAAAAAUUAAUAUGCGUGGGUAAAGAUUAGAGAUAUCCAUAGUAGUGUGUAAUUCUUAGAUUGAAAUAAGGGGAAGGAACUCGGCAAAUUUUAGCUUCGCCUGUUUAUCAAAAACAUGGCUCUUUGGUAUUUAGGUAUAAAGAGUCAAACCUGCCCAGUGAAAUUUUUAACGGCCGCGGUACCCUGACCGUGCAAAGGUAGCAUAAUCAUUUGCCUUAUAAUUGAAGGCUUGUAUGAAUGGUUUAACGAAAGCACUGCUGUCUCCCUCUUAAUAAGUAGAAUUUGACUUUUAGGUGAAGAGGCCUAAAUGUAAUUGAAAGACAAGAAGACCCUGUCGAGCUUGAAAAUUAAGUUAGGAGCGAGAUAUAACAUGCCUUAAAUUUAUUACUAACUAUUUUUUUGGUUGGGGCGACCGAGGAACAAUAAAAGCUUCCUUUUUUGUAUUAACUUAUAGGUGCUGAUCCAGUUAGAGCUGAUUAAAAAAAUUAGUUACCGCAGGGAUAACAGCAUAAUCUCUCUUGAGAGAUCAAAUCGAAAGAGGGGGUUGUGACCUCGAUGUUGGACUAGAAUAUCCUAAAGAUGCAGAAGUCUUA